rnacentral:lncRNA from 1 species
UCAUGUGCCUAGCUUGGGCCAUUGGAUCGAGAUGUGAUAAAUUAAGUGGUAUCAGAGCUUAAGUUAAAGGACCUAUAGUUUAAGUUUGUCAGUGAAAGUGAGAUAGAAUUUAGAUUGUGAUUGAAUGAUUCUAAUCAUAAAAUAAUAAAUAAUUAUGCUAGAAUAGAUGCCUCUCUAUAAAAUAGAUUGUGAUGUCUCGAAUCCAAUCC